GAUGAACGCUGGCGGCGUGCCUAAUACAUGCAAGUCGAGCGAACAGACGAGGAGCUUGCUCCUCUGACGUUAGCGGCGGACGGGUGAGUAACACGUGGAUAACCUACCUAUAAGACUGGGAUAACUUCGGGAAACCGGAGCUAAUACCGGAUAAUAUAUUGAACCGCAUGGUUCAAUAGUGAAAGACGGUUUUGCUGUCACUUAUAGAUGGAUCCGCGCCGCAUUAGCUAGUUGGUAAGGUAACGGCUUACCAAGGCGACGAUGCGUAGCCGACCUGAGAGGGUGAACGGCCAAACUGGAACUUAGACACGGGCCAGACCCCCACGGGGGGCAGAAGUAGGGAAUCUUCCGCAAAGGGCGAAAGCCCGGCGGAGCAAAGCCGCGGGAGGGAUGAAGGGUUUCGGAUCUUAAAACUCUUUUAUUAGGGAAGAACAAAUGUGUAAGUAACUAUGCACGUCUUGACGGGACCUAAUCAGAAAGCCACGGCUAACUACGGG
rnacentral:rRNA from 1 species